AUAAGAUAAUGUUCCUGUCAGAAU
rnacentral:piRNA from 1 species